rnacentral:lncRNA from 1 species
UUACUUUUAAGUAUUUGAUGUUUCUCGAUAGAAUAGGGUUGAUGUAGGUAUACACAAAUAGCUUAGUCAUUAUAUAAGUUCUCGCUUAUUGAUACAAUGCCUCGCUAGUAAUUUUUCUCUCUUUCUUCUCUCCUUAGUUACACAGUAGAUUUAGAGUAGACUAUAAUGCUUAUUUGAAAUAGAACAAAAAUAUUGAUGGUGGUUCGAUCAAAGUAUGUUCUUUCCAAGAUGAUAUAGUUGUGUAUUUAAACUCUGUGAGGUCUUCUUGUCUUGUAAGUCUUGAGAGAUUGCAAACCCAAGGGAGUUGAUCUCAGAAAUGAAUCACUAAUUGAUUCUUUCUAAGAAUAAGAUAUUGCUUUUGUUGAUUUUCCUUGACUUGUGCUCUUGAUUGGAUUUUUCCUUUGCUGAGCAGAUUUUCCCGCUAUUUGAAGUAUCAAAUCAGAUUCCUUGAUUCCGACUUUUGAUCUUCGUCCUUAGAUGGAGGAAUCUAUCACGCCCCAACCUGGGGAAGCGUGGUUGGCACCAGGUGUUGCAUUGGCCGGAAUGAACCACUCUAUAACUUUUUUUAUAACUAUCAUGGGCCAACAUGAUCACAACUUGUAAUGUAUAACCAUAAGUGGGCAAAUGAUGUAUCAAUUAUUGUCCAUGUAGUCUAAAGAUAUCAGAUGUACAAGUACUUUUAGGAUACCUUUAAAUAAAUGAUUAUAAAUUCUUUGAAUAUACAUAAUAAGAUAUGAUGCAGAAGAAAAAUAAAAAAAUAGACAAUCCAAAGUAAUCACUUUUGCUAACUCUUCACGAUCCUUCAUUUUGUCAUAUUUCAUAAGCCCUCAAGUACUAACGUUUAGAGUUCCUUAAUUUUCAUCUAAAUGAUAACCACAUUCUAUAGGAUGAGUAAUUCUCAUGUGUAUACUAAGUGUCCCAGUCCCCUCUCCAGUUUUAUGUUUAAAUCAUCUGUACAAAUUUUGCAUCUAACUCUAUCAGAAUUCUCUAUUUCCUCAAAAAAACUUUCAAACCUUACUUUCUUUUUCUCUAAUUAGUAGUCGGGGCCACAUGUGGUCUGCUACUAGUACCACAACCACCACCCCUGCUACCAACUCCAACACUACUAAAUCUCAGUGGUGUCUUAUCUUCAAUUUCUAAUUCAUUAUCUUCUGUACCGAAAUCUUUCUAUAAUUGUUCAUAAUCUAUAUUAUUAUUAGGUGAUGUAUUAGAAAUAUAUGUAAAGUUAUUUACAUUAUCACUAGAUGCUGAAGCAAUGCCUCUUUUUCUAUUUCCGAUUAGCCCAAUUAGUAACCUUAUUACAAACUCUUUUUGCAGUAUUAAAUAUAUUGUAAAAAUUUAACUACUAACAAAAAUUAAAUAUGCAAAUAAACUACUUAGUAAAUAAGAGAAAAAGUUGGAGGGAAUGCACUGAAUUCCUCAAUAAUUGAACAGUUGAUGAUUUCUGCAACGCCAAUGUUAGUACAAAGAAAUGUCAAUUAUUCAAAGUUUGAAGUUGAAAAUUCAAAUAAUAAACAAUACGAUAAAUUAAAUUUCAAAAACAAAUGAGAGCCAGUUGAUUGCAAUUUAGGUGAAGAAUGAGAGAAUAACAAUUGAGAAUUUGAGGUUGAGAAAUGAG